UUAGGAAUUUUGCGCAAUGGGGGAAACCCUGACGCAGCCACGCCGCGUGCGGGAUGAAGGCCUUCGGGUCGUAAACCGCCUUUCUCGAGGAAGACACCCGACGGUACUCGAGGCAUAAGCAACGGCUAACUACGUGCCAGCAGCCGCGGUAAUACGUAGGUUGCGAGCGUUGUCCGGAUUUACUGGGCGUAAAGCGCACGCAGGCGGUUCCGAAAGUCGAAUGUGAAAGCUCCUGGCCCAACUGGGAGAGGCCGUUCGAAACUUCGGGACUUGAAGGCGGGAGAGGCAGAUGGAAUUUCCGGUGUAGCGGUAAAAUGCGUAGAUACCGGAAGGAACACCAGUGGCGAAAGCGAUCUGCUGGCCCGCCCUUGACGCUCAGGUGCGAAAGCUAGGGGAGCGACCGGGAUUAGAUACCCCGUUAGUCCUAGCUGUAAACAAUGGGCACUAGGUGUUGUCGGUAUCGACCCCGGCAGUGCCGAAGCUAACGCAUUAAGUGCCCCGCCUGGGGAGUACGACCGCAAGGUUAA
rnacentral:rRNA from 1 species